ACUCCAAAGGGACUCGAUCGUGACUCGUCAUUCCUUCCCUUAUCUGCUGCUGAGGGACCUGCCUGCUUUCCCAUUACCAGGGCUAUGAAAGUGAAUCGUGCGAGUUGGGUCAAAGUCACCCGAGUCACUUUAGGCCAUCCCGGGUACACGUCAUCAGUGAAACGUCUUUCCAGGAGCCUUGUGUCAUCUUCCACUGCUGAAUCGGGCGAAGACCAUUGCAGAUAUUUCUCUUCCAUUCACCAAUUGCAAGAUUUCCAACAGGCAACCAGUGCGCAUCGGAAACAUUUUAAUAUUUCCUGUCAACAUUCAGCUAACU